UGGGGAAUUUUGGACAAUGGGCGAAAGCCUGAUCCAGCCAUGCCGCGUGCAGGAUGAAGGCCUUCGGGUUGUUAACUGCUUUUGUACGGAACGAAAAGACUCCUUCUAAUAAAGGGAGUCCAUGACGGUACCGUAAGAAUAAGCACCGGCUAACUACGUGCCAGCAGCCGCGGUAAUACGUAGGGUGCGAGCGUUAAUCGGAAUUACUGGGCGUAAAGCGUGCGCAGGCGGUUAUAUAAGACAGAUGUGAAAUCCCCGGGCUCAACCUGGGAACUGCAUUUGUGACUGUAUAGCUAGAGUACGGCAGAGGGGGAUGGAAUUCCGCGUGUAGCAGUGAAAUGCGUAGAUAUGCGGAGGAACACCGAUGGCGAAGGCAAUCCCCUGGGCCUGUACUGACGCUCAUGCACGAAAGCGUGGGGAGCAAACAGG
rnacentral:rRNA from 1 species